GAUGAACGCUGGCGGCGUGCCUAAUACAUGCAAGUCGAGCGAACAGACGAGGAGCUUGCUCCUCUGACGUUAGCGGCGGACGGGUGAGUAACACGUGGAUAACCUACCUAUAAGACUGGGAUAACUUCGGGAAACCGGAGCUAAUACCGGAUAAUAUAUUGAACCGCAUGGUUCAAUAGUGAAAGACGGUUUUGCUGUCACUUAUAGAUGGAUCCGCGCCGCAUUAGCUAGUUGGUAAGGUAACGGCUUCCCAAGGCGACGAUGCGUAGCCGACCUGAGAGGGUGAUCGGCCACACUGGAACGGAGACACGGUCCAGGCUCCUACGGGAGGCAGCAGUAGGGAAUCUGCCGCAAUGGGCGAAAGCCUGACGGAGCAACGCCGCGUGAGAGAUGAAGGUCUUCGGAUCGUAAAACUCUGUUAUGAGGGAAGAACAAAUGUGUAAGUAACUAUGCACGUCUUGACGGUACCUAAUCAGAAAGCCACGGCUAACUACGUG
rnacentral:rRNA from 1 species